AGUGAUUAAUGGAACAUGAAGAAAUGGGUUGCUUGGUGUGAGUGAAAUGACUGAAUCCAGCUUUCUGUUUCUUGACUUGUGUGCAAGGCAAAAUAAAACUCAGACAGCAGAUGUGUAAUGAGCUUCCUCCUGACCAUUCUCAGAACGGUUGGAAUGUGUUCUUAGCUUUGGGCUAUGGGGCAGAAGAUGGGGAGAACAGGAUAGAAGAGUUAGACUCAGUCCAGUCCAUAAGAGGUAGAUAGUGCCACCAUCACGUGUGCCCCUCUGAUGGUGCCUAGGAAGUAAAAGCAGUUUGAGUACCAUAUAAAGGACAAGUGAAGAUGAAACUUCAGAGGCUGCCUGAACAUUUGGAUCAUGUCUACUUCUCCAAGUGUCCCAGAAGUCCAGGAAAACCUGUCAGACCGUUAUUGCUUGAUUUUGUAGCCUAGUAAAUAUGGUUAUAUUUGCUGCUGCUUGAGGCAGGCAGCAGUCUGUCACAGGUCUCAGGAAAUGUGUAAAGAAUGGAAAAUGUAUAAAGGGAACGUAUAAAAAACAAUGCAAGUGGACCUGGGAACUGAGGAGAAAGAAGCCUCAGCACCAGUGUCACAUCCCUCCUAGGGUGACCUCAGGAUACUAGUGGCUCACUGCAAUACCCCCAAGCUUCAUCACCCUGAGGGGCUUCAGGAGGGUACACAUAACAUUAGAAUAAGGGAAUAAGUUUUCCUAAAUUUUCUUGUAGAAAAAUUUAAAAGAUAUUACUAGUUAUACUUUUCUUUGUAAUUUAAUUUUGGUUUGUUUUCAUUUGCAGAGCCAUGAGUUUUUCACUGUACGACGUUCCUGUUUAGUUUUGACAGGUUUGUUAGCCCAAAGCUGUUCUUUCUAAUUCUGUACCUCAUGUUAAUGUCUGAGUAGUUUCUUCUUUUCCUCAAGUUAUUUUGGAGGGAGAAUCUUGCUGAUCAGCACUUGACAUCAACUGAAAUUUCCUGUUUAGCAACAAAAUUGCAAAACCUCAUAUGACAUACAAUGAAAUUGCCAGCUUAGACUUCUUAAUUCAGAGCUUGAAUAGUUUGCACAGCCAUUUUUCCUUUCCCAUUACUUUCUGGCUCUUCUUUUCAUUUUUAGUUUAUAGCAGGAUUGUACAGUAGCAGAUUUCACUUACAUGCUGGUGUACUGCCAAGGGCAGAGAGCGAGAGAAGGAAGAAAGAAAGUGCUUCCUUGGAUGAAUUCCCCUCCCUCCCCCCCCGCCCCCAAGGGAAGUAACAGGCCAGGCUUGGCCAGCACAGCUGUUUCUAUAAAGUACAGCUUUCUGUACAGUUGUAUAUGCAAGGAAAUUUAUAUAUUCAAAUAAUUUCAUUAUUUUUUUGUAAUUUUGUCCUUCACUUAUUUAACAGACAAAUAAAGUAUUCAAUGAAUAACAGUUCUAAAAUAAUUACAGAGUCAAUUUUUGAUUAAUAAAUGUAAUCUCUAGAAAGAUUCUAAGGUAUCUUAUCCGUCAGUGCACUUGUCACCAUUUUCCGUGAGUUAUAUCUUCAACUGUCUUUAAAAAGCAGCAUGGUCUAGUGAUUUGGCCUGGGGAAAUGGAAGGACUAGGGCUCAUUUUAGCAAUCAAUGUUGUGUUGAAUUGCUGUGUGACUGUGACCAAGUUUAUUUCACUAUAUCUUGCGUUUCUGCUUGUAAAAAUGAGGAAACUCUGCCUUCAGCAGAGCUCUGUGAUCCUCUGAUAAAAUGUGCAAUGUGAAAUCUCAAGUCCAUAAAAUCUUUAUUCAUAUAACUGACUUUCAGCCUUUGACCAAACAAGUUAAGGAAGUGCUCACAAUGCUUCUGGUCCUUACUUACUUGGGACUCAAAGCACACAUCGGUAUUACCCCCCUUUUCAUACCAUUUUAAAUUACAAGUUUGAAAAAAAAGAUAUAUAUAUGUAUAUAUAUAUAUUACCAAAAACUCCAUCCAGUUUUGUUGUCAUACUGAUAAUACAAAAAGCCUACAUGUAAGCCAUAUUUUUAGUAACUGGAUAGCAUGCUGUACUGGGUAGUUUCCAUAAAGCUGCUUUUAUUUUUUAAUGCCUUCAUGAACUGAACUCAUGUAAAUUUGUCAAUAUGAUCCGGUGUAGAAACAAAACACUUUUUGUUGCUUAGACCUCUGUGGUUCUAAGGCAAGGACAGAUGUUAAGGAGCUGUUAAGUAUCAUUCAAAAAGCUGUCACUUUUCGUACCUCUAAUAUUGUUGUUUUUCAAAUCACUUUAAAGACCUCAUUCCAUUGUAAUUCAAAGGGAAUCUUUUGAAGGAUAUCAGUAGCCAUUUGCAGGUUUUAAUUUAACAUGGUUAGAAAUAUUGUCAGCCCACUUGUCCUCUGUUGAUAUACA